CCUACGGGGGGCUGCAGUGGGGAAUAUUGCACAAUGGGGGAAACCCUGAUGCAGCGACGCCGCGUGAGUGAAGAAGUAUUUCUGUAUUUAAAACUCUAUCAGCAGGGAAGAAAAUGACGGUACCUGUUUAAUAAUCCCCGCCUAACUACGUUCCAGCAGCCGCGAUGACACGUAGGGGGCAAGCGUUAUCCGGAUUUACUUGGUGUAAAGGGAGCGUAGACGGCAACACAAGUCUGGGGUGAAAUGCCGGGGCUUAACACCGGAACUGCUUUGGAAACUGUGCAGCUAGAGUGCAGGAGAGGUAAGUGGAAUUCCUAGUGUAGCGGUGAAAUGCGUAGAUAUUAGGAGGAACACCAGUGGCGAAGGCGGCAUACUGGACUGUAACUGACGUUGAGGCUCGAAAGCGUGGGGAGCAAACAGGAUUAGAUACCCUAGUAGUC
rnacentral:rRNA from 1 species